AUGUGGAUUUCCUCUCUGUCCUGGUGGUGUUCGGUGCCUAACUGGAACCAUGUGCCUCGGUGUUUGAAGAAAAGGAGCAGAGAGGAUGAUGCUGCAUUUUUAACACACCACACAGCAUGCAAGGGAUUUCCUCGCAACACCUUUCUUGCUGUGAUUCCACAGACCAGCCCGCUGCAGCUGAGGGCUGCGGAGACCCCAUCUAUCCCUGAGUCUCACUCUUGUUGCCCAGGCUGGACUGCAUUGGCACGAGCUCGGCUUGCUGCAAACUCCACCUCCCGGGUCCAAGUGAUUUUCCCACCUCAGUCUCCUGAGCAGCUGGAAUUACAGAAGAAGCCAGAGAAAAUGAUGCCAAUAAAGAGAGGAAGGCUAUAAGCAUGGCCACAGAAAGGUGGAGAGAGUGCUCUGAUGCUGUCUAAGUGCUGGUGUUCUGUCAACAUUGAGGCCCGCUCUCCUCUCAUUGUCUUGUGUGUUUCUUGCUCCAGCCUACACAUAUACAUUUUUUUUCUUAUAUUAUUUUGAGUCCUGCAUCUCCCACUUGGGCUAAAGAAUCCUGACUGAAAUCUCCAAGAGAACAACUUAGGCAACAAGAUUACGUGAUAGAUGAAUAGCCUAAAAUAUUUUACCACAUUUGUUUUAUUGCAUCAAAAUAAUUUUUAAAAAUAGCGAGUAAUUUAAAAAUGCAUAAAAAGUAAUCAAAAUAAAUAUGGAGGUAUAAGUUUUUCUAUGAGAGAG
rnacentral:lncRNA from 13 species